CAAUUUCCUUCUUCUUUGUUGUCACGCCUCGAGACCCGCCAUUUUGGUCGGAUUCGACAUGCCAACAGACCACUGAACGGACAGAGUUUUUCCUGUCCGCGUCAUAAUCAGUACAAUUCAAGUGGUUUCCAAUAGGAACAUAAUUCAUACACCGAUAGCAUAAGGAAGGCAUCAAACAUAAUUACUAAGCUAUUACAAGCAUUCGUCACAUUUCACAUUACAUUUACAUUUACAUUUACAUUCUUCCGAAUAUAAUCAACUUUAUUACAAUUUGUUCAUUCCUUUCUAUACCGUAUGCUAUGCUAAUCC
rnacentral:lncRNA from 1 species